CCUACGGGAGGCAGCAGUGGGGAAUAUUGGACAAUGGGGGGAACCCUGAUCCAGCCAUGCCGCGUGUGUGAAGAAGGCCCUCGGGUUGUAAAGCACUUUCAGUGAGGAAGAACGCCUGGUGGUUAAUACCCAUCAGGAAAGACAUCACUCACAGAAGAAGCACCGGCUAACUCCGUGCCAGCAGCCGCGGUAAUACGGAGGGUGCGAGCGUUAAUCGGAAUUACUGGGCGUAAAGCGCGCGUAGGUGGCUUGAUAAGCCGGUUGUGAAAGCCCCGGGCUCAACCUGGGAACGGCAUCCGGAACUGUCAAGCUAGAGUGCAGGAGAGGAAGGUAGAAUUCCCGGUGUAGCGGUGAAAUGCGUAGAGAUCGGGAGGAAUACCAGUGGCGAAGGCGGCCUUCUGGACUGACACUGACACUGAGGUGCGAAAGCGUGGGUAGCACACAGGAUUAGAUACCCUUGUAGUC
rnacentral:rRNA from 1 species